rnacentral:rRNA from 1 species
UACGUAGGGUGCAAGCGUUGUCCGGAAUUAUUGGGCGUAAAGAGCUCGUAGGCGGCUUGGCAAGUCGGGUGUGAAACCUCCAGGCUCAACCUGGAGACGCCACUCGAGACUGCUAUGGCUAGAGUCUGGUAGGGGAUCACGGAAUUCCUGGUGUAGCGGUGAAAUGCGCGAUAUCAGGAGGAACACCGGUGGCGAAGGCGGUGAUCUGGGCCAGUACUGACGCUGGAGGAGCGAAAGCGUGGGGAGCAAACAGAA